ACUCUGCUGACAUCUGUCCCAGGGGCCCCAGAGUUUGGGCAGCACUUCUGCAGGAAGUGGCGACAGGGAAAUAUGGGGAAGCACCUGCUUUUCUGGUUUCCCAGGUCCCUAGGCAUGUAUAAAGAUGAGAGAUUUCCUGAGUGUUUCCAUAGUUGAGAACUGAAGAGCCAUGGCUGCUGUGCCCCUGCUGAAGUGGAUCUCAUUGCUUCUCAUCAUCCAGGCACUGUCCCCGCUGGGACGUCUCGCCAUGUCCUCCCCACUCCCAGACCCUGACUCUUCAGAGGAGCACAAUGAACCACCAAAGCCUGAAAUUCCCUCAUCAGUGGAUCCCUCUGAGGCUGACAGCUCAAGCCCACCUAUGCCUGGGAUCCCAGUUGCCCCUUGGCCACCACUGCCAGUGGACAACAUCCCUGAAGAACCACACACUGAGCCUCCUCAAGCUGAUUAGUCCUCUUCUCCCAUGGACACCUCCAGGCCUUCCUAGGACAGGGCACACCUCCUCAGGCUCAAAAGCCCUUUCCAGCACCACCAGGACUCCUCACUCCCAAUAUGAACAGGUCCAGUGCAUGGCUGGGGUGGAGCUGGGAAGCUGAGAGGGACACGCUGUGCCUUAAUGCUCCUGAUAGGCUGGAUCUGCACUAGACUCAGGUGCCUUCUAAUUAAUACACUGAAUGUCUGCUCAUCUAUCCAUCUGGCCUAGGCAGUGAUAGACCUGUCUGUCAGUCUUAUCUGGGUAUUUACUCCAUCUGUUCAUCCACCCAUUCAUCCAUUUGUCUCUACCAUCAAAGCUUCCCCCUCUUCCUUCUGUAGGACUUGAGGCUGUUCACACUUUCCCCCCUGAACAUUUUCUUGCCUUUUCAGUCAUCUUCCCUCAUCUCCAGCCCUGAAGAUGCAGUGAGCAGUGGUGGCCUCUGGAACCAUUAAGGUGCCACCCAAGACUGACCUGUCCAUCACCCCUUGUAGCUGUGUUGCCUUGUCACAGGGACGUAUUAUUGGGUUUUUGGUUUUUUUGCCUAUGUUGUUGCUUGAAAAGAGUUUCUAUUAAAGGAUUUCCAUGAUAA